rnacentral:rRNA from 12 species
UAGUGAACCAGUACCGUGAGGGAAAGGUGAAAAGAACGCCGAGAAGGCGAGUGAAAUAGUACCUGAAACCGUGUGCUUACAAGCGGUCGGAGCUGCAUUUAUGCAGUGACGGCGUGCCUUUUGUAUAAUGAGCCUACGAGUUGCUCCUGUUGUGCGAGGUUAAGCCCCUAAGGGGUGGAGCCGUAGCGAAAGCGAGUCUGAAUAGGGCGUGCAGUACAGCGGGGCAGACGCGAAACCAAGUGAUCUAUCCAUGGUCAGGGUGAAGCGGUGGUAAGACACCGUGGAGGCCCGAACCGGUUGACGUUGAAAAGUCUUCGGAUGAACUGUGGAUAGGGGUGAAAGGCCAAUCAAACUUGGAGAUAGCUCGUACUCCCCGAAAUAUAUUUAGGUAUAGCGUUUGAUUUUGUCUGCCUGGAGGUAGAGCACUGAUUAGGCUAGGGCCCUUCACCGGGUACCAACCCUAGACAAACUCCGAAUACCAGCGCAGAGCCAUCAAGCAGUCAGUGGCAGGGUGAUAACGUCCUGUCGCGAGAGGGGAACAACCCAGACCACCAGCUAAGGUCCCUAAAUUCCGACUAAGUUGAUCAAAGAAAGUUGAGUUGCUUAGACAACUAGGAGGUUGGCUUAGAAGCAGCCAUUCCUUUAAAGAGUGCGUAAUAGCUCACUAGUCAAGCGACUCGGCGUCGAUAAUAAUCGGGCAUAAGUCGGAUACCGAAGCUGUGGGAUUUAACGAUCGGUAGGGGAGCAUUCCAGUCAGCGCAGAAGCAGCGCCCGCGAGGGGCCGUGGAGCGGCUGGAAGCGAAAAUGUAGGCAUGAGUAACGAUAAGACGGGUGAAAAACCCGUCCACCGUAAACCCAAGGGUUCCUGAUCAACGCUAAUCGGAUCAGGGUUAGUCGAGACCUAAGGUGUACCCGGUGAGGCCGGGGAAGCCGAUGGCAAAGCGGUUAAAUAUUCCGCUACCGAAGCCAACGUAUGGCUAAGGCGUGACGCAGAAGUGACACUCCCGCGUGCUGACGAAUGCACGUUAAAGGGCGUAGGCCGGGGGGCAGGCAAAUCCGCCUCCCAUUAAGGUUGAACCCCGACAGUACUCGGAUUCUCACGAUGAAGAGAUAGUGGAGGUAAUCAUGCUGCCAAGAAAAGCGUCGUAGUUUGUUGUCUUCGCUCGUACCCCAAACCGACACAGGUGGGUGAGGAGAGUAUCCUCAGGUGCUCGAGUAAUUCAUGGCUAAGGAACUAGGCAAAUUCGAUCCGUAACUUCGGGAGAAGGAUCCCCUGACUAUGUCAGGGCGCAGUGAAAAGGCCCAAGCGACUGUUUACCAAAAACACAUGUCUCUGCUAAGCCGUAAGGCGAUGUAUAGGGACUGACACCUGCCCGGUGCUGGAAGGUUAAAGAAGGGGGUUAGCUUCGGCGAAGCCCUUGACUGAAGCCCCAGUAAACGGCGGCCGUAACUAUAACGGUCCUAAGGUAGCGAAAUUCCUUGUCGGGUA